AGAGAACGAGGGGAAGCGUGGGAGAAGUGAAAUGCAGGGAGACAGGUGCUGGCAAAGAGCAAGCGAAUGAAACAUGAGCUUUCAUUCUAAAGCAGCCAAAUCAAGUAAACUCAAGAGAUUUUUGCUGUAUCAUUUGAUAGAGAACAAUGCAAGGUCAGGGUCCCUCUCCUCUCGACAUUUACCCAUCUGCACCGCAGCACACACUCUCACACGCAGCUCCUGUGGAUUACCUAGGCCGCAGGACAGAUCCGUUUCUAUGGAAACCUCAUAGCAGGCCGCAUGAGUUAAACGUACACCUCUUGUAAA